rnacentral:rRNA from 1 species
AUGCGGAGAGGAAAGAGAUUGAGAGGGAGGGAUAAACCCACGCCCCGCCCCGUCCGUCCUUUUCAAGCCCCGCAACUCCGUCUCCAAUCCAUUACAAUCCCCCCCAGAUCAGAAACUUUGUUCAUCUUAUCCAUCUCGUCGGCGGCGAGAAGCAUGUCGGACUACGUGCCCUCCUCCACCCAGAUUCAGGCGCUGAGGCCUCGGUCCCUCCGCGGCGCGCUCUACGUCACACUCGCUCUGCCCGGGGGCCUGCUCGUCCGCUUCUCCAGGAGCCUGCUCGCCGCCGUCAGGUGGCUACCCACGACCUACCUGCGCAUCCCGGUGGACGGGGCCGAUCAGGCGGCCAUUUCGCCCCGCCGCGUUCCGAGCCCCCUGGAGCUCGAUCCCGCGCAGGUGGCGGCGCUCACGGCCGCCCUUCGCCUCGCCAUCGUCGGCGGGGCCCUCCCGAUCCCCUCUCUCGCGCAGCGCUGGGCCGACGCGUCCGACUCCGACUCCAGCGACGACGACGACGAGGAGCGCGGCCGCGCUGAUGACCAGCACCUCUGGUAUCCACUCAUCGAGUCGCUGGGUGGAGGGGAUGCCUGUCUGUUCGUCUCCGGCUCGGCUGCGUCUCUGGCUGAGCUGACUGGUGCGCCGGGACUGUACAGACUCCAAGCCAACCUCCGCUGCCAACCUCUUCCUAUACCUUUCUCUUCUUUAUAUGGAAGUCAGUGGGGGGCGACGUUCCCUUCAAAAUCUGCCAGCUCAGUCUCUCAGAGGUGCUCAUGGGGGUACGGUGCGCGGCUAUGCGUGCAUGCGUUCAUUAGGGUGAGUGUAUCUGUGUGUAUACUGUCUGAUGUAAAUGGGAACCCAUUGAUCCUCACAGCAAGGGCAGAAAGCUUUUCAGGUCCUCGUGAGUUGACCGAUGACACAACAAGGACUUGGGUCAUGAUGCUCAAAAUUACUACCAAACUUGUUUGUAUAAGUAAGCGGCAAUUACAUGAGCAGAAUCAGGAAUCGGCUGAAGAACGCUUUGCAGAGGUAGCCAAGCAAUCUUUAGAGCUGAUCCUUGAGGCUGCAUGUUCAUUCAGUGAUGCAGAAUGGUCUGAUGUCCACAUUUCGCAACAGCUGACUGUUUUUGACACACUUGUUGAUGUCCUAUUCAAUAUACAAGACUUGCCUUUCAGUGGAUCUGGUGAGGUUGCUGGCAUUAUUAAUAAGAUGGUGAAUGCUUUCAAAGGCGUAAUUCGGAGGACUUCAAAUGACAUCCGUAGCAGGAAGGAAUCGAUUAUUCAUCCAGCAACUUUUAUUCUCAUACAAGUCCUGGAAUUUUUUGAUCGUAACAGAGAUAUGGUCCAGUCAAUACUUGAAUCUGGAGAUUACAACACUGGCCCAUGCUCUGACAUGUUUGAUUGUUUGGUAUCUAAGCUCAAGGACUGUGCAGAAGUAAUUUUCCAAGAAAAGGGACAAAGGUGCAUGUUCUUCUUGAAUAACACAAAUUAUGUUUUGCAAAAGAAUUGCCACUCAGGAUUACUCCCUCCCAGUGUAGCGAGUAAUUUAGUAUCACUGAUGGACCAGCACACCAUGAGCUACCUUGAGGAAUAUUGGUUUCCGCUUGUGAAAUAUUUGGAUGGUGAUUCUCUGAAGAAGCCACGCGGUUCUUCCUUGGAUAAAUUUACCAAAGAGUUCUUUACCAUCUGUGAUAGCCAGAUGACUUGGAAAGUUCAAACUAGUCUUAAGGAAAGACUGCGUGAACGGAUAGUGGAUUUGAUUGUUCCAAAAUAUGUAAACUUCUUGAAGGCUCUGCAGGAAAAUCCAAGUUCUUGGUUGAAGAGGGUGUGCCGAGCCAGGUCUGAGAAGCCGAUUUAUCCUGCUCCACAACUGGAAGAGGUGAUCAGGGGACUCUUUGAAAGAUAG